rnacentral:rRNA from 1 species
CCUACGGGUGGCAGCAGUGAGGAAUAUUGGUCAAUGGACGGAAGUCUGAACCAGCCAUGCCGCGUGCAGGAAGACGGCUCUAUGAGUUGUAAACUGCUUUUGUACAAGGGUAAACCUGAAUACGUGUAUUCAGCUGAAAGUACUGUACGAAUAAGGAUCGGCUAACUCCGUGCCAGCAGCCGCGGUAAUACGGAGGAUCCAAGCGUUAUCCGGAUUUAUUGGGUUUAAAGGGUGCGUAGGCGGUCCGGAAAGUCAGCGGUAAAAGCCCGGGGCUCAACCCCGGCGAGCCGUUGAAACUGUCGGACUAGAGACGGCGAGAAGUACGCGGAAUGCGCGGUGUAGCGGUGAAAUGCAUAGAUAUCGCGCAGAACUCCGAUUGCGAAGGCAGCGUACCGGCGCCGGACUGACGCUGAGGCACGAAAGCGUGGGUAUCGAACAGGAUUAGAUACCCUAGUAGUC